UGCCAGCAGCCGCGGUAAUACGGAGGGUGCAAGCGUUGUUCGGAUUUACUGGGCGUAAAGGGCGCGUAGGCGGUUCGUUAAGUCGGAUGUGAAAACUCUGGGCUCAACCCAGAGCCUGCAUCCGAUACUGGCGGACUUGAGUGCGAGAGGGGAAAGCGGAAUUCCUGGUGUAGCGGUGAAAUGCGUAGAUAUCAGGAGGAACACCGGUGGCGAAGGCGGCUUUCUGGAUCGCAACUGACGCUGAGGCGCGAAAGCUAGGGGAGCGAACGGGAUUAGAUA
rnacentral:rRNA from 1 species